UGUGUAGGCGGUUCCCUAAGUUUGGUGUGAAAUCUCCCGGCUCAACUGGGAGGGUGCGCCGAAAACUGGGGGGCUAGAGUACUAGAUGGGAGAGUGGAAUUCCUGGUGUAGCGGUGAAAUGCGUAGAUAUCAGGAGGAACACCUGUGGUGUAGACGGCUCUCUGGACAGUAACUGACGCUGAGACACGAAAGCGUGGGUAGCAAACA
rnacentral:rRNA from 1 species